AUUGAACGCUGGCGGCAUGCUUUACACAUGCAAGUCGAACGGCAGCACGGACUUCGGUCUGGUGGCGAGUGGCGAACGGGUGAGUAAUACAUCGGAACGUGCCCAGUUGUGGGGGAUAACUACUCGAAAGAGUAGCUAAUACCGCAUGAGAACUGAGGUUGAAAGCAGGGGAUCGUAAGACCUUGCGCAACUGGAGCGGCCGAUGGCAGAUUAGGUAGUUGGUGGGAUAAAAGCUUACCAAGCCGACGAUCUGUAGCUGGUCUGAGAGGACGACCGGCCACACUGGGACUGAGAAACGGCCCAGACUCCUACGGGAGGCAGCAGAGGGGAAUUUUGGACAAUGGGCGAAAGCCUGAUCCAGCAAUGCCGCGUGCAGGAUGAAGGCCUUCGGGUUGUAAACUGCUUUUGUACGGAACGAAAAGCUUCGGGCUAAUACCCUGGAGUCAUGACGGUACCGUAAGAAUAAGCACCGGCUUACUACGUGCCAGCCGCCGCAGUAACAC
rnacentral:rRNA from 1 species